rnacentral:misc_RNA from 1 species
UUUCCGUAGGUGAACCUGCGGAAGGAUCAUUAUUGGAUUUUGAAACUUCAGGCUGCUGCUGGCUCCCCUCGGAGGGCAUGUGCACGCUUGUUGUCCAUUAUUUCUCCCACUGUGCACAAAUUGUAGACCUUUCAGUAGGCCUAUGUUGUUUUUCACAAUCUCUGAAUGUAAUAGAAUGGUUUUGAAUCUUGGGAAAUACAAUACAACUUUCAGCAACGGAUCUCUUGGCUCUC